ACUGUACUGAAGGGCUCAACAGCAGCUCAGAUGCUUCUGAAGAAACAAAUAGGAAAUACAGAACUUAAGAAAGACAUCAUUCCCUGUGUUCUGAAAGGCAAGAUGAAGGGCCAGGGACAUAGUAGAUGUACAACAAAUACUGACUUCACUUUAAACAAACUGUCCGGAAUGGUUAAAAACAGAGUUUAAGUGCUGGACUAGGCCCACGAAUUUGAAAAAUUCCAUUUCCUCCUCCGCCCUUUUGCCCUGCCUUAUGGGUGUGCAAUGAGGAAGUGCCUCAUUGCCCGACAGUGAGGCAGAUGUAGAACAGGCUAUUUUUUGCUGGCUUCUGAGUCACUAAGAGUUGUCCCAGUGAAUCAGCUCACCCCGCCUCCUCUCCUUCCCUUUGUUAACCCACCACUACCCAUUCUACUCCCAGGCUGACCUGGCACCUACUUCCUUCAUAGCAACUGGUGGCUCCCCAGAUUUUCUGAGCUCCUGCUGACUUUCCUCAGUGCGUGUGGGAGGACCCAGCAAGAAUGAGAUCAUCCCUGCCUGAUGUGGGAAAUGAGGCCUAGAGAAGAUAAGUGAUUUACCUAAGAGGUACAGCCAGCAGGUAACCCUGGAUUGCUCACCAAACCACAGAGUGCCGGGGGUUCUAUGAAAACUGUGGUUCAUCACUUCAGAGCAUUAAUUUUACUCAGUGGCAGUCAUUAUUUCACCAUUUUAAAGAUGGUACAACUGAGAUUAAGAAAAUUUAAGCCAUAAGUUGAUUUGAUCACCAGUGUGAUUUUGAGUUCCCUACUCCUUUCAUCAUAUUGUGUCAAGGAUUUGAAGGAGACAAGGCUCCAGGACCCUGCCAGAAGCCGGGAGAUGCAACUUGCAGGGACCAAUUUCCUCACUGUAUGAUACAGAAUUGAGCAAAGGAAGGGUGACCAAUGGAUCUGAGGAUGCAGCAUGUUUCACUGACAUGGACUUUGAGCAAGUGGAUUGGAACUUACCUGUUGGUCUAUACAACGCUGUGUGUGCUAAGUUGCUCCAAUUGUGUCUGACUCUUUGUGACCCUAUGGACUACAGUUCACCAGGCUCCUCUGUCCAUGGGAUUCUCCAGGUAAGAAAACUGUAGUGGGUUGCCAUGCCCUUCUCCAGGGGAUCUUCCCGACCCAGGGAUCGAACUCGCAUCUCCUGCAUUGGCAGGCAGAUUCUUUACCACUAGUGCCAACUGGGAAGCCCCUGCACCACACUAGAAGUUUGUAGCCCCAAGUUUGUAAAUUUACUAAAGAUAUUAGAUCCUUUCCCCACCAUGCCCUAAAAAUUUGUGCUUCUCUAACUAGACACACAGUCCAUAGGAAGCCUCCAGAGUUGAAAUUCUCCUGGGAAUAGUACUUGCUCUUAGAACUUGACAAGUUUCCCCACUGAAAGAGAUUAAUCCAUCCAUCCAGGAUUGAACAUGUGAGCAAGUGAGUCUGUAAGCAAGACCCUCCAAUGAACUUGCAUCUUGUACAAUAAUCUAGAAGCUCUGGGCCUAUGAAAGGAGGCAGAUUGCUGUGGGGCAAGGGAGUGGAUGCCCCUGGACUCAGACUCUCUUUUGUCUCAGCUACUCACAACAGACUAGGGUUUGAGCCACAUCUCAGGACACAGUGUGACUGUGCAGGCUUGUGCAGACCCUGGAUGAGACCCACCUGUGGUGUGGGACAUGUCUGAAGGAAACAGCUUUAAGUACCUGAAUGGUAGGGAGCACAGCCCAGGGGUGCAGUCAGCGCGGGUGAUGGUGUUGACCAGGGAGGGAACAGGUCUGAUGGGAGACAUCCUGGCAGGUGGCUUUAGCAGACAAAGAAUCCAGCUCAUGUGAUUCUUAGAAGUCAGGCAAGCAUGAGGCUCAUCAAGCACAUCUUGUUUCUUACAGCAUUUAUUUAUUUACAACACCUUGUUAUUUCAAAAACAAUCUCAUAUGACUUUGUUAUAUAGAUGUUACUAAAAUCAUUCCUGAACUUUUGACCAUUAAUGUAAAAUAUGUAAAAUGAACAGUAUAGACUGUGGCUGCAAAACUGCUAUAAUGGAUACAUUGAACCAGAACUCUACUCCCAGAAACUUUAAUUUUGAUAUAAUUUCACACUUAGAGAAAAGUUGUUAUCCUUUUGCAAUUGCUUUAUUAUGCUAUCAGGUGUUUCUGAAUGAAGGGGCAGCACAGGAGCCAUCAGGCUGGGGAAAGUGGUGUCAGCCUUCAGGGGACAUGCAACCACAGGCAAGGUGGCCCUGGAGAGACAGGGGGCAGAGGUGGUCAGCAGGACUGCAGAACAUGUGCUGAACUGGCCGUGGUGUAAUUGUCCAGAGGCAUGGAGUACUUAAAGCCCAGUUUGGCCACCUCUAGUUCUUCUAUCUUUGGAAAACUGCUGACCCUCUCUGAGCUUCCAUUUCUUCCUGGGUAAAUGGGAAUGUAGUAAUAUCUUGGUAAGUAGCAAUAUCUACUAUAGCAGAUCUCUUGUGAAGAUGGAAUGAGCUGAUGUGUGUAAAGUACCUUACAGAGCCUGGCACAUUAAUGCCAGUUAUUGAGUUAGUGCUUAAUAAACAGUAGUUAUUAAUAAGUUUGAUGAUGGUGAUUAGCAUAAUAAAGAGGUUGAGACUGGAACCAGAAGCCUGGCCCAGCGUGACAUGGCAGGUGAGGCCAGCGGGUUGGGCCUGCAGGAGCUGGGAGGGGCACAGGACAUGCAUUCCAGGCAGGAAUCAUGCUUCCCUGGGCUUCAUGGCGUGACUGCUGGUGUGGAGAGGACCGUGUGAAGAAUUCUUCUGCUUGAGAAACCAAGUUCCUCCAAUCAAACUCCAGGGGUUGGGGAUUCUGGGUAAGGAAAGAUGAAAACUUGACAGCCAUAGAAUGCCUCUCCCUUGGCCAGAGGAAGGAUGAAUGGAAUAUUUGAGAUGCUGGAAGCCCUCCUACAUGGUAAGUUCGAAGAAAUGUCUCGCUUCUCUGAGGAUUCCAAACGGACUUUGCAAAAAUGUAAUUAAGUUCCAAGUCCCUGGAAAUCAAUCAUGCUCCCAGGAACUAAUACCUUGUCUUGUUGAUUAGAAGUGAGGGGAGCCAGGGGCAAUUACUCUCUGAUGAAGGAAAUUCUUUGCUCAGAGAUCCAAGGACUCAGAGA